rnacentral:rRNA from 1 species
GACGAACGCUGGCGGCGUGCUUAACACAUGCAAGUCGAGCGGUAAGGCCCUUUCGGGGGUACACGAGCGGCGAACGGGUGAGUAACACGUGGGUGACCUGCCCUCAGCUCUGGGAUAAGCCUGGGAAACCGGGUCUAAUACCGGAUAUGACUCCAUGACGCAUGUUGUGGGGUGGAAAGCCUUGUGCGGCUGAGGAUGGGCCCGCGGCCUAUCAGCUUGUUGGUGGGGUGAUGGCCUACCAAGGCGACGACGGGUAGCCGGCCUGAGAGGGCGACCGGCCACACUGGGACUGAGACACGGCCCAGACUCCUACGGGAGGCAGCAGUGGGGAAUCUUGCGCAAUGGGGGAAAGCCUGACGCAGCGACGCCGCGUGAGGGAUGACGGCCUGGUGUAAC